rnacentral:lncRNA from 1 species
AUGUCUGUGCAGGGGGAGUGGUCCCUGGGCUCCGCGCCUGCGUCCCAAUUCAUCACCGCCCGGUGCUGGGGAGUCAUAUGCUGCUUUAUACCCAGUGUCUGCACAAUGAGACCUUUGUGGGGCUCUGAACAACGCCCUUUAGAAUUCAGAUCAAACGCCCUGACUUCCGCCCACCCUACACACAGAGCACUUGUGUCCCAGCGCCGGACACCCAGCCUGCACCCACCUGUUCUGUGCCCGCCCGGUCCAUCGCCGCACCCGCCCCAUAGCCCCACCAGAAGAAUGGCCACGCGGGGGAGGGAGAUAAAACUCAGGCAGGUGGAUGUGAAGAGGGGACCUCAGGGGACCCGGAGGCUCUGGGCUGAGGCCCUUCCCCAUGGCCCCAUCAGAAGUUUAAGGAAGCCUGUUAUCCCAUUUUCCAGAUGAAGAAGCUGAAGCUCAGGUAAGUAACUCCUCAAGGUCACACUGUUACAAAGCGGUAGUAUAAGUAGGAUGAAACAAUGUAUCUGAGACAGAAGUCUUUCUACAGCAGGCUCCUUGUGCUUCUGCAGACAGUGUCCGUAGAAAGCAAAGGCUAACCAUUAAAAACAACAACAACAACAACAAAAAAGGCCCGGCGCAGUGGCUCACGCCUGUAAUCCCAGCACUUUGGGAGGCCGAGGCGGACGGAUCACAAGAUCAGGAAAUCAAGACCAUCCUGGCUAACAAGGUGAAACCCUGUCUCUACUGAAAAUACAAAAAAUUAGCCGGACGUGAUGGGACGAGCCUGUAGUCCCAGCUACUCGGGAGGCUGAGGCAGGAGAAUCACUUGAACCCAGGAGGCCGAGGUUGCAGUGAGCCAAGAUUGCACCACUGAACUCCAGCCUGGGCGACAGAGUGAGUGAGACUCUAUCACAAAAACAAACAAACAAAAAAGCAAAGGCGAAUGUUAACCAUAAAGGCACAAGAAGUAUGGAAGCUGUCAAUCCGUGAGCACAUUCCAACUCCAGUGUCAUGGAGCAAACCCUGGCCGUCUCUCUUUGAGUUUCAGGAAAGGGAACUCAUGCAGGGGGUGGUCAAGUGGGCACACGGUGAGCAUAAGCCAGAAGGAGAAAGCAAAAGGUCACUGAGCAGGCCGGGUGCCGUGGCACACGCCUGUAAUCCCAGCACUUUGGGAGUCUGUGGCGGGUGGAUCAUUUGAGGUCAGGAGUUCGAGACCAGCCUGGCCAACAUGGUGAAACCCCGUCUCUACUAAAAAUACAAAAAUUAGCCGGGCGUGGUGGUAUACACCUGUAAUCCCAGCUACUCAGGAGGCUGAGGCAGGAGAAUUGCUUGAACCUGGGCGGCGGAGGUUGCAGUGAGCCAAGAUCAUGCCAUUGUACUCCAGCUUGGGUGACAGAGCAUGAUUCCAUCUCAAAAAAAAAAAAAAAAAAAAGUCACUGAGCAAACAGAGGGUCAGGAGAUAGGCUGUGACUCUUACCUAUAGUCACAUAGCUUUAGGUUUGGAUUCUGGUUCUUCACUUGAUGUGACCUUGGGCUAGCUACUAAACUUCUCCGAGCCUGCUUGUUCAUCUAUAAAUGAGGUUAAUACCCAGGGUUAUUGUGAGAUUCAACGAGACAAUCUGCAAAAGUUCUUAGCCCGGCUCCAGGAUCAUAGUUGGUGACCAAAGGGGUUAAGAAUCUUCUCAGGGGCCGGGCACAGAGGCUCACAUCUGUAAUCCCAGCACUUUGGGAGGUUGAAGUGGGCAGGUCACUUGAGGUCCGGAGUUUGAGACCACCCUGGCCAACAUAGUGAAACUCCAUCUCUACUGAAAAUACAAAAAUUUAGCUGCGUGUGGUGGUGCAUGCCUGUAAUCCCAGCUGCUAGGUGGGAGAAUCACUGGAACCCCGGAGACGGAGGUUGCCGUGAGCCAAGAUUGCACCACUGCACUCCAGUCUGGGCGACAGAGCAAGACUCCAUCUCAAAAAAAAAAAAAAAAUUCUUCUCGGGAAGAGAAAACAAAGUUGCCUUGGGGGAGUAAAUGGUCUGCCAAACCCAAGAUCUCUCCUUUUUCUCCCUAAUGCUGUGGGGUUUUUUUUUUUUGUUUUUUUUUUUUAAGAGGAUGGGAACAAGGUCUGGCUAUAUCACCCAGGCUAGAGUGCAGUGGCACAAUCACUGCUCACUGCAGCCUUGACCUCCUGGGCUCCAGCGAUCCUCCCACCUCAGCCUCUCAAUUAGCUGGGACCACAGGUAUGUGUCACCAUGCCCAGCGAAUUUUUCUUUUUUUUUUUUGUAGAGGUCGGGGGCUCGCUAUGUUGCCCAGGCUGGUCUUGAACUCCUGGGCUCAAGCAAUCUUCCCACUUUUGCCUCCCAAAGUGUUGGGAUUACAGGCGUGAGCGACCUUGAGCAGCCCCCGAUGCUGUUGUUGACCUAUAGGGUCUGUCUGAGACCAGCCCCCAACCCCAAGUGCAUAUUGUAACCUCGUGGUUUCAGGAGCUUGCCAGUUGCUCUAGGGAGGAAAUUCUCCUCCAUCCCUUAGGCAGGCUAAGAAGGCUUCUCCCAUCUCUUGCCACUUCUGCCAUUAAGUUGCAAGGAGAUCAUACUAGCAGCAGGAAACUGAAUGUGAGGAGGACACGCAGGGCUGGACCAUAGGAGAUGCAGUGAUCCCUGGAGUAAUUUCCUGACCCCAAUGCAUGCUCCACAGCAGAGCAAGUGGUUGUGGAAGAAGCCUCAUAUUCAGCCCUGGAUGGUCCUCUAUGCUGUAGAGGAAAGGGGUGGGGUAACAGCAACUGCGAAAGUUGGGAAAUGGGAUGAAAGAAUCAGGGGAAAGAAGGACAGUCCACAGGACAUAGAUUACUUCUCAGAACAAGGUUUCUUCAUCUAACUAACUAAAUAAAUAGCCUUAGUGAGUUCAUGUCAUGUGCCAACCAGCAUGGGGAAGCAGGGAUAUGGGUGCCCUUUCUCCCAAGCCUAGGAAUCUACAUGCAAAGCUGUUGCACUAGGCAUCACAGCUAGCCAUAAAGAAAUGCUUCAGAGGCUGGGCACGGUGGCUCAUGCCUUUAAUCCCAAUGCUUUGGGAGGCCAAGGUGGGCAGAUCACGAGGUCAGCAGAUCGAGGCCAACAUGGUGAAACCCCGACUCUACUAAAAUUAGAAAAAUUAGCUGGGCAUGGUGGCACGCACCUGUAAUCCCAGCUACUCGGGAGGCUGAGGCAGGAGAAUCGCUUGAACCCAGGAGGCGAAGAUUGCAGUGAGCCGAGAUUGCACCACUGCACUCCAGCCUGCAGAGCCAGAGUGAGACUCCGUCAAAAAAAAAAAAAAAAAAAAAAAAAAAAAAAAGAAGAAAAGAAAAAGAAAUGCUUCCAGGCAGUGAGAUGCUACACCUAGAACAGGUAGCCAGAGAAUUAUUAAUAACUGGCUGGGUGCAGGGGCUCACGCCUGCAAUCCCAGCACUUUGGGAGGCUUAGGUGGGCAGAUCACUGAGGGAUUUGAGUCCAGCCUGACCAACAUGGUGAAACCCCAUCUCUACUAAAAAUUAGCUGAUGUGGUGCAUGGCACCUGUAAUCCUGCAGCUACCCAGGAGGCUGAGGCAGGAGAAUUGUUUAACCCAAGAGGCAGAGGUUGCAGGAGUGGAGAUCCUGCCACUGAACUCCAGCCUGGGGAAAAGAGUGAGACUCUGGUUCUGGGAAACAAAACAAAACAAAAACCCAGGCCAGGUGCAGUGGCUCACGCCUGGAAUCCCAGCACUUUGGGAGGCUGGAGGUGGGCAUCGUUUGAGCCCAGGAGCUUGAGACCAUCAUGGCAAUAUAGCAAGACCCCGCCUCUAUUGUAUUUAAAAAAGAAAAGCUCAAGGUGGCUCACUUCUGAAUCCCAAGUGGGAGGCUGAGGCGUGGUGGAAACGAGGUCAGAGAUAGAAACCAUCCUGGCUAACAUGGUGAAACCCCGCCUCUACUAAAAUACAAAAUUAGCCGGGCGUGGUGGCAGGUGCCUGUAGUCCCAGCUAUUUGGGAGGCUGAGGCAGGAGAAUGGCGUGAACCCAGGAGGCGGAGCCAUGAGCAGAUUGUGCCACUGCACUCCACCUCAGACAGAGCAUUCCACAAAAAAAAAAAAAAAAAUAGAAAAAGAAAACAAAAAAAAAAGGCCAGGCAUGCGGCUCACGCUUUGUAAUCCCAGCAUCUCUUUGGGAGGCAGAGAUCAGGAUUUCCUGAGGUCAGGAGUCUCGGGAGACUACCUGGACCAACAUGGUGAAACUGCCUCUACUAAAAAUACAAAAAUUAGCCGGGCAAGAUGCCUGUAGUUCCAGCUACCUACAGGAGGCUGAGUCAGGAGAAUCACUUGAACCCGAGGCAGAUGUUGUAGUGAGCCGAGAUCAUGCCACUGCACUCCAGCCUGGGUGACAGAACAGGACUCUGUCUCUAAAAAAAAAAAAAGAAUAAAAUAAAACAACAACAACAACAAUGAUGAUAAUAAUAAUAAUAAUAAAAAGAAUAACCUGGGCUGUCUUCUUUUUUUUUUUGAGAUGAGCCCACCUGUCACUCAGGCUGGAACAUGCGGCGUGAUCUCGGCUCACACUGCAAGCUCCACCUCCCGGUUCACCAUUCUUCUGCCUCACCCUGAGUAGCUGGGACUACAGCAUGCAGCCGUUCACUCUACCUCAGCUUUCUUUUUUUUUUUUUUUUUGUAUUUUAGUAGAGACAGGGUUUCACCAUGUUAGCCAGGAUGGUCUCGACACUCGACCUCGUGAUCCACCUGCCUCGAUCAAAGUGCUGGGAUUAGGCGUGAGUGCCACUGCACCUGGUCAUUCCCUGG